UACGGGGGGGGCAAGCGUUGUUCGGAAUUACUGGGCGUAAAGGGCGUGUAGGCGGCCAACUAAGUCCGACGUGAAAUCCCCAGGCUUAACCUGGGAACUGCGUCGGAUACUGGAUGGCUUGAAUCCGGGAGAGGGAUGCGGAAUUCCAGGUGUAGCGGUGAAAUGCGUAGAUAUCUGGAGGAACACCGGUGGCGAAGGCGGCAUCCUGGACCAAUAUUGACGCUGAGGAGCGAAAGCCAGGGGAGCAAACGGG
rnacentral:rRNA from 1 species